GCGAUUGCGGGUGCUUACCAUGCAAGUCGACGAACCUUUCGGGGUUAGUGGCGGACGGGUGAGUAACGCGUGAGAAUCUGCCCUCAGGAGGGGGAUAACGACUGGAAACGGUCGCUAAUACCCCAUAUGCCGAGAGGUGAAAUGAAUUUCGCCUGAGGAUGAGCUCGCGUCUGAUUAGCUAGUUGGGGGGGUAAAGGCCUACCAAGGCGACGAUCAGUAGCUGGUCUGAGAGGAUGAUCAGCCACACUGGGACUGAGACACGGCCCAGACUCCUACGGGAGGCAGCAGUGGGGAAUUUUCCGCAAUGGGCGAAAGCCUGACGGAGCAACGCCGCGUGAGGGAUGAAGGCCUCUGGGCUGUAAACCUCUUUUCUCAAGGAAGAAGAUCUGACGGUACUUGAGGAAUAAGCCACGGCUAAUUCCGUGCCAGCAGCCGCGGUAAUACGGGAGUGGCAAGCGUUAUCCGGAAUUAUUGGGCGUAAAGCGUCCGCAGGCGGCCUUGUAAGUCUGUCGUUAAAGCGUGGAGCUUAACUCCAUUUCAGCGGUGGAAACUACAAGGCUUGAGUGUGGUAGGGGCAGAGGGAAUUCCCGGUGUAGCGGUGAAAUGCGUAGAUAUCGGGAAGAACACCAGUGGCGAAGGCGCUCUGCUGGGCCAUAACUGACGCUCAUGGACGAAAGCCAGGGGAGCGAAAGGGAUUAGAUACCCCUGUAGUCCUGGCCGUAAACGAUGAACACUAGGCGUCGGGGGAAUCGACCCCCUCGGUGUCGUAGCCAACGCGUUAAGUGUUCCGCCUGGGGAGUACGCACGCAAGUGUGAAACUCAAAGGAAUUGACGG
rnacentral:rRNA from 1 species